rnacentral:lncRNA from 1 species
CAGCAUCUUUAGCAUGGUCUGGCACAGGCAAGUUGCACAAAAGAGUAACCCUUGAUGAUGAUACCAAGGUUCUGCUAUCCGAGCUUGAAGCUGAAUCCUUUGUUUUCCACAGUCGAACCUCCCAUACCUACCAUUUGGCAGCAUUAGUUAAGUAACCUUCUUCAUAUACACAACUGUAUGCAUUUUUUUGGCAACAUUAUUUAGGGCACGGCUGGUAGACAUUGGCAUAUUUCCUUUAAAAUUAUUUUACUUUAUGAUAGAAAUUUGCCGAUUGAACCAUAGAUAAAGCAAGCGGUAAAAGACUUGCGGUUAAAUCUUUAGUUAACACCCGUUUCGAGUUUGAUCCCAGGACAACCCCGAUUUUUAGUGAUGGUGAAAGCAUUUAUGGAGAAGAGAAAGACCUCAUUUUGCAUGUAAAUUGUAGACAUUGAUACUGAUGACAGAAGUUCGUCCAAGUAAUUUAGAGCGAGCAGUACUGAAAAAGAUAGAAAUGGAAUGGCCUAUUCAAGUGAGAAUUGAAUACACGUCUCAAUAUUUAUAUUUAAGAUGUAUCCCUUUAGAGACAUACAUACUAGUUGAUUAAAUUAUGUACAUUAAAAUAUUUGAAAGGGUCCACGUCUCACAGCUUACCUCACCUACAUUCUUAGUUUUUUCAAACUUGAUAGCAAGUAUAGCCAUUUUAUUUAUUUACAUGUACAGCGGAGCAUUAGACAACGAACAUGCAAAUAAACAAAUACAGAAAGAAUUUGAUGCCCAAGAUUAAAAGAAAAAACUCAAUAAAAAAGUUAAAUUAUUAUUUGGGGUCUGAAUUUUGCAAUCAUUCUCACAUUGUCUAAAAAGAAAUCAAACCCCAACUUGGAUUGCUGUUUUUUUUUAUCAUUUUAUUGCAUAUAAAUUAUCCAACAGAUAAACUUUUUUUGUUAAACUGCUUUUUUUUUUUAGUAUAGUAAAAUGGGAUUAAAUUCUCAACACCUAAUAAAUAGAUAAAUGUGAAAAUAGUAACAGUCCGUACCUGAAUGGUCUUGCCAGGACUGACGGGCGUAGCUUCAGCGAAGAUAAAGUCACCAAGUUCAGCGCGCUUUAAGUGAUUGAUGCUAAGGUGGAUCCCAGCCACUCUUUGGAAACCGCUGGCCAUGUGAGCCCCGAUGCUAGCCAGCGCCUCCGCUAUCAGAG